rnacentral:tRNA from 1 species
GAGGGUACAGCUCAGUGGUAGAGUACAUGCUUAGCAUGGGCGAGGUCCUGGGUUCAAUCCCCAGUACUGCCA